GGCUAAUAAAUCAUGCAUCCCAGUAGAGAAAUCCUACCUACAGAGGCUUCAGAGCUUCAAAAGGAAGCUCAAAGGAGAAUUCAACUUGAGGUACAGAGGAAGCUGCAGGAGAGAAUAGAGGCCAACGAGAAGUAACUGAAGGCAAUUACAGAGGAACAACAAAAGAGAGCCUCGCUUGAUGGGAGCAAUCCUGCGAAUCUGGAGGGCGCAAGAGCCCAAAGAGCCGACUUCAAUUUGGCCAUCUCCAACUCUGUCGACCUCGCGCGUGAAAGAGGAGGUGGUGGUGGAGAGAGGGACAACAGCAACAUCAGCAACAUGACGAUGGGCAAGAAAGAAGAGAUGUACGAGAGAGGAGGCCAUUAAAGUCGUGGCUCACCAUUCAGAAAUAUGAAGGUGAGGCCGCCACACUUGCGGGAUCAUCCUCAAAUCCACCCCAACUAUUCAUCCUGGACUCACCAAGCCCUAGGGACGAUUCCAUCCUCCUAAGUUUCAACACUAGCCGCACUGCCGAACAAGGCAAUUGCAUCAACACCCGUCUUCUUCGACUUUCUAUCAGUGAAUCAUGAGCAAUAGUUGCCCAAUGAGGAUGAUCUGAACCCCUGCGGCCACAGCCAUGGCCAUGGCGACAAUAGCAACAACAACGAUCAAUCCACAUCAGCUGAUUGCUACGCUGUAAAAUCCGCUGAGGAGAUCAGUCGUGAUUAAGGGGAUGUGAUGUGAUGUCUAGCUCUCAUGGUUUUGACAUGAUUGUGGAGUCUGAUUGUGAUGAUCUUUUGGAAUAUGAAUCGCCAACCUAUCAUUAUCUCCCCUUUUCCACGAAGAAAAUGCCUUUUGAGCUAA